rnacentral:rRNA from 1 species
GACGAACGCUGGCGGCGUGCCUAAUACAUGCAAGUUGAGCGCUGAAGGUUGGUACUUGUACCGACUGGAUGAGCAGCGAACGGGUGAGUAGCGCGUGGGGAAUCUGCCUUUGAGCGGGGGACAACAUUUGGAAACGAAUGCUAAUACCGCAUAAAAACUUUAAACACAAGUUUUAAGUUUGAAAGAUGCAAUUGCACCACUCAAAGAUGAUCCCGCGUUGUAUUAGCUAGUUGGUGAGGUAAAGGCUCACCAAGGCGAUGAUACAUAGCCGACCUGAGAGGGUGAUCGGCCACAUUGGGACUGAGACACGGCCCAAACUCCUACGGGAGGCAGCAGUAGGGAAUCUUCGGCAAUGGACGAAAGUCUGACCGAGCAACGCCGCGUGAGUGAAGAAGGUUUUCGGAUCGUAAAACUCUGUUGGUAGAGAAGAACGUUGGUGAGAGUGGAAAGCUCAUCAAGUGACGGUAACUACCCAGAAAGGGACGGCUAACUACGUG